rnacentral:snoRNA from 1 species
CCAUGUGAUGAAAAAAAUUAGCAGAUUGGUGAAGAAGUGGAGCGACUCUGAGG